AUCCAGCUGAGGAGUCCCAAACAGGACGAACCGCGCGUCAAUCUGGAU
rfam:Schistosoma curassoni strain Dakar, Senegal genome assembly, scaffold: SCTD_scaffold0004323